GCCAGUGUGGUGUAGUGGUUUGAGUGUUGGACUAUGACUUGAGAGAUCAGGGUUCGAUUUUCUGCUCAGCCA